rnacentral:rRNA from 1 species
UAGGGAAUAUUGGACAAUGGGUGCGAGCCUGAUCCAGCCAUGCCGCGUGCAGGAAGACGGCCUUCUGGGUUGUAAACUGCUUUUGCCAGGGGAUAAAAAGUCCCUGCGGGGAAAAUUGAAGGUACCUGGUGAAUAAGCCACGGCUAACUACGUGCCAGCAGCCGCGGUAAUACGUAGGUGGCAAGCGUUGUCCGGAUUUAUUGGGUUUAAAGGGUGCGUAGGUUGUUUUGUAAGUCAGUGGUGAAAUCCGGCAGCUCAACUGUCGAUGUGCCAUUGAUACUGCAGAACUUGAGUACAGACGAGGUAGGCGGAAUUGACGGUGUAGCGGUGAAAUGCUUAGAUAUCGUCAAGAACACCGAUAGCGAAGGCAGCUUACUAGACUGUAACUGACACUGAUGCACGAAAGUGUGGGGAUCAAACAGGAUUAGAUACCCUGGUAGUCCACACUGUAAACGAUGAUUACUCGAUGUUGGCGAUACACGGCCAGCG